AUUGAACGCUGGCGGCAGGCCUAACACAUGCAAGUCGAACGGUAGCACAGAGAGCUUGCUCUCGGGUGACGAGUGGCGGACGGGUGAGUAAUGUCUGGGAAACUGCCCGAUGGAGGGGGAUAACUACUGGAAACGGUAGCUAAUACCGCAUAACGUCGCAAGACCAAAGUGGGGGACCUUCGGGCCUCACACCAUCGGAUGUGCCCAUAUGGGAUUAGCUACGAGGCGGGGUAAUGGCUCACCUAGGCUACGAUCCCUAGCUAGUCUGAGAGGGUGACCAGCCACACUGGAACUGAGACACGGUCCAGACUCCUACGGGAGGCAGCAGUGGGGAAUAUUGCACAAUGGGCGCGAGCCUGAUGCAGCCAUGCCGCGUGUAUGAAGAAGGCCUUCGGGUUGUAAAGUACUUUCAGCGGGGAGGAAGGCGGUGAAGUUAAUAACUUCACCGAUUGACGUUACCCGCAGAAGAAGCACCGGCUAACUCCGUGCCAGCCGCCGCAGUAA
rnacentral:rRNA from 1 species